GGUUUUCCUGCAGAGCAACUGUUUGGCAGGUGAAGCUUAAGUCAGUUGGUAACUUGACUCCCUUUUCAAACUGUCAACACAGUGGUAUCACCAGUCUCAUUAAAAUUGAUGUCGGCACAACUUGACAGGACUGGAGAAAAGGGAAGGUCAUAGCCUAGGGACAGAACCACUUGGUUCUGUCUCAUCUUUCUCUGAUGGGAGGGUGAUGCAGCCCAAAUAGGAUGCCAGAAAUGAAAACGACUCUAACUCUGCUCGCACGUGUACUAGGUAGAGGUCCCAGCGGUGGUGAUGAGUGUGGGCUAGCAUUUUACACAAAGUGCUCUGCAUUUGCAUCAGAAGUGUCAUUCACUUUUUAGGGCCGGGAUUCCUACAGCAGGAGUAAACUAAAGGUAAGAGCAAAGUUGAGAACAGGGCCUGGUUCUUUCACUGCUUCUCAUCAUAAACCUUGGGCCAG
rnacentral:lncRNA from 1 species